rnacentral:rRNA from 1 species
GGCGAACGGGUGAGUAACGCGUGGGUAACCUGCCCCUGAACCUGGAAUAACUUCGCGAAAGCGAGGCUAAUACCGGAUAUUGUCCCAGGGACCUUGGUCCUUGUGAUGAAAGAUGACCUCUUCACGAAAGUUGUCGUUCAGAGAGGGGCCCGCGUACCAUUAGCUAGUUGGUAGGGUAAUGGCCUACCAAGGCGAGGAUGGUUAGCUGGUCUGAGAGGAUGACCAGCCACACUGGCACUGAAACACGGGCCAGACUCCUACGGGAGGCAGCAGUGAGGAAUUUUGCGCAAUAGGGGAAACCCUGACGCAGCAACGCCGCGUGAGUGAAGAAGGCCCUCGGGUCGUAAAGCUCUGUCAAGUGGGAAAAAAGCUUGCUGGUAAAUAGCCAGUAAGACUGAUGGUACCAUUGAAGGAAGCACCGGCUAACUCCGUGCCAGCAGCCGCGGUAAUACGGAGGGUGCAAGCGUUGUUCGGAAUUACUGGGCGUAAAGGGCGUGUAGGCGGUGUGGUAUGUCAGAUGUG